rnacentral:misc_RNA from 1 species
AUGUAUGUUACAUCAGAACUUUUGACUGGGCGGAGCGAUUUCGACAAAUUUUCUUUUAAUCGAAAGGUGGUGUGUGCCAAUUUGGUCCCAUUUAAAUUUAUUUGAGAUCUAACAACUACUUUUCGAGCUAUAUCUAAUAAUGCGUUUUUACUUGACGCUUUUUUCGUCGACCUACGUUGUAUUAUACCGCAUAACUUUCUACUUGAUGUACCGAUUUUGAUAAUUCUUUUUUUGUUGGAAAGGAGAUAUCCCUAGUUUAUUUAGUACCAUGAUAAGGAAACCAGGAUCUGAUAAUAGGAUCCCAGAGAAAUCGAGGGAACUUCUUGAAAAUCCGCAAUAACUUUUUAUUGGGUGUACCGAUUUUAAUAAUUUUUAAUUUAAUCGAAAGCUGAUGUUU